rnacentral:misc_RNA from 1 species
GGAUCAUUACAGAGUACCGGUGCCCUCUGGGCGCCUACUCCAACCCUUUUGUCUACCACACUUGUUGCUUUGGCGGGCCGGGUGCCCCUACAGGCACCGCCGGCCCCGGCUGGAGAGCGCCCGCCAGAGGAUACACAAACGAUGCUCACAGUGUCAUCUGAGUAAAUUUUAAAUGAAUCAAAACUUUCAACAACGGAUCUCUUGGUUCUGGCAUCGAUGAAGAACGCAGCGAAAUGCGAUAAGUAAUGUGAAUUGCAGAAUUCAGUGAAUCAUCGAAUCUUUGAACGCACAUUGCGCCCCUUGGUAUUCCGAGGGGCAUGCCUGUUCGAGCGUCAUUUGACCCCUCAAGCCUUGCUUGGUGUUGGGUGCCGGCCCGCCUGGGCCCACCCGUAACUCGUUGGCGGUUGUCACCGGCUGAAAGCGUAGCGAAAUAUGCUGGAGCCCGGAGGCGGCCUGUCAGGUACCUACAUACCAAAAGUUUGACCUCGGAUCAGGUAGGGAUACCCGCUGAACUUAAGCAUAUCAAUAAGCGGAGGAAAAGAAACCAACAGGGAUUGCCCUAGUAACGGCGAGUGAAGCGGCAACAGCUCAAAUUUGAAAGCUCCCCACCGGGCGCGUUGUAAUUUGUAGAGGAUGCUUUGGAGACGUGCCUGGUCUAAGUCCAUUGGAACAUGGCGUCGCAGAGGGUGAGAGUCCCGUACGCGGCCGGGUGCCUAUCCGUGUAAAGCUCCUUCGACGAGUCGAGUUGUUUGGGAAUGCAGCUCUAAAUGGGAGGUAAAUUUCUUCUAAAGCUAAAUACCGGCCAGAGACCGAUAGCGCACAAGUAGAGUGAUCGAAAGAUGAAAAGCACUUUGAAAAGAGAGUUAAAAAGUACGUGAAAUUGUUGAAAGGGAAGCGUUUGCGGCCAGACUUCACGGCGUUGCUCAGCCGGGUUCUACCCGGUGCACUCUUCGCCCGUGAGGCCAGCAUCAGUUUGGGUGCCUGGAUAAAGGUCGUGGGAAUGUAGCUCCCCCGGGAGUGUUAAGCCCGCGGCACAAUACAGGCUACCCGGA